rnacentral:lncRNA from 1 species
GCCCAUGCAAGCGUCAGUUUCUAUAGAUUUACAGCAGAUCCACGUCUACUGCAGAAAUACAAUCAGGUUUCUGGUGGCGUGUCUCAUGCUUGGAAUACACAUUUGAGGCGAUUCCUGGCAUGUGUGUACCCCAGUAGCCACAGGGUUUACCACCUCUGGGGGCUGUGCCUCCACUGCUUGGAAGGUGACCCAGGCCCUGAUGAAAACAAUGGGUUCUCCUGCCAAAUGCCUGGCUGUAGUUCCAAACUGAUGGGCUGUGGGCCAGAUGUGGCUGCAUCUGGUUUGUUGUGGUACUGUUUUUUUUUUUUUUCCUUGCGUAGCCUUUCUUAUAAAUGUGAAUGAAACUUGUCAAACUUUAAAAACCAAAAAAUUUCAAAUAAAGACCUGAUUUUUUUUUUCUUCCUUCUCUUGAGAAGUUGGAAUACUGUUCCGUACUGGACUUGACAAACAAGGAGCUUUAGAGGAAGGCACACUCACCCUUUGGCCAGUCCCCAUCUGAGUCCCUCCUCUGUUCAGAGUUUCCUGCCUAUACCUUGGAGACAUGAAUUCAUGAUAAGGCCCUGUUCAAGCCAGCAGGGGCCUUGCUGGCUUCCCCCUAGUUCCUGCCUUAUCCCUAUCCUAGUCCUUUGAUCUCUGGCUUCCUAUCUUUUGGUGUCUUAGUAAUUUGUAUUUCUUAUUUUAAAAUAAGUAGUGCAGGAUGAAUAUUUAUAUUCCAUUUAAACAACAUUUUUAUAUAGUUGGAAAAAGAAAAGAUUUUUGGAUAUAUAUUUUAUU